ACUGGGUUUCCAAGAAUGCAAGAAAUGGCCUGUGUAGUCAAACUAGUCCCUGAUGGUGACAAUUGGAAAUGCUGGGUAGGCAGAGCACACAAAUUUAGCUGCUUUCUGCCAUCCAUGCCUCUUGUGCUCCUCUAAUAGCCACAUUCAUUGUUUCAGAGAUGUUGGAGGGGAAAGUCUGGUCUGUUCCUUCAGUAUCUGCUUAUGGACCUGUUGUCCACGAACUGGUACAAUACCUGCUCAAACCUUUUGCCUCCAUGGCUUCCUAUGGCAACAGAUUCCACAAGUUCACUACAACCCAUGGAAAAAAAAAAAGCAGUUUACAUGGUCUAAACUGAUCCCCUGCUAUUUUCAGUGGGUGAUCUAUAGUUCUGGUAUUUGAAGGAUUUAGUGGGUAAGUUGUGCAGUUGCCUUUUCCUCGCCUUCAUGAUUUUGUAAGCUUUGCUUAUAUGCCCCCUCAGCAUUUUUUAGUUCUCCUUGCAAAGCAGCUGAUCUCUCCCUUUCAUCAUUCUAAUUGCCCUUCUGUGUUCCUUCCUUCUCUCUGCUAUUUCCUUCCUGAGAUGUGGAGAGUGGGACUGCAAAUGGUGCUUGAGAUGAGAGCUCGGUAAGGAUUUGCACGGAGGCAGAAUGGUGCCCUGUGUCUUGCUUUACUGCCCUUCUGGUUACAGUAGACAUACUGCAUCAUCGGCUUUUUGUUGCUGAGUUGUGCAAACCCUUGUCCCAGCCAUUCUCCUUUUGCAUCUUCCUGAUCUUGAGGCCAUGUUUUUAUGGUGCUCCCCAGAACUGCAAUAAGCACAAGCUACUGAAAUACCCUGGGGGGGAUCAUUCUGACUCCGCAUGUGAAUUUUUACUCCUUUUGGAAAGCUGCAAAUAGGGUUUACUCCUGGCAGCUGGAGGUUGAUGUCCUUUCCUCAUGGCAUGCUAACUGACCAGGAUAAUCCCCCAUGGGUUAUGUUAGCAUAGCCACAUGGGUGCAGGGAAUACUCCCCAGAAUCCUGUUUGUGGUGGCUCUUGCCAGGUGGCUGCUCACACUGCUGGCUAGGGAGGGAAAAUUUCUCAUGUCUGGCAAUGAAGACUUUCCUCCCACCAUUUAUUUUGAUUUCCACAUGUUCUUUCAUGAAAUGUUUAAUUUCUUUGCAUCACGGGCUAUUUUCCACAUUAGCAAUUCACUUUAAUACCAAUUUCUUUUGAAACUGUCAGAUUUUGAGAAAUAAGGCUGAAAUAGUUUAUGUGACCAGAAACUGAAACCUAAGAUUCUCAGUCAUUUCUGCAAGAUUUUUAUUAACAUUUAUCCACAAAUAGCUAUGGAUAUUUUAUUUAGAAAAGCAUCUUAUUCCCAGAGCUGUAUUACUGCAAAGCUAGAAUAUACUUCCUAGAGGGGCUGAGGAGGAGUCCCUGAGGCUCUUUGUCCCAAGUUCCAUGAAAGAACAUGGGACAUGUUCUUUCUCUCCCCUCCCUGCCAUGGUCCAGUUUUGUUCAUGUCAAAGGCAUGGAGGCAGAUGUUGGAAAUUUUCCAACUUGAGAAUGAGGCUGAGGUAUCAGCUGUGGGCAGGCUUGUGCUGCUUUUUAGCAAGUGGUUAUUUGAAAAGUUACUCAUUUCAUUGUGGGCAUUGCUGUGGUGAAAUUUCAACCUAAGUAAAUCACAGCAAAAGAGGAUAAGAAUGAAUCUUAAAAUGGAGUGUUUUGGUUCCAGUUUCUUUUGAGGAUGGACACUCAGAAGCCACGGGCCCCAUGCAGUACCUCUGUGACUCAAAAACAUUACUCGUGUUUUUCAUGUCCUUUCAGUUCUGAGUUUCUCAAGUGAUACCGUGGCUCUUCUCAUUUUGACAGGCCUCUAUGUCUGCAAAGUUAAAAGCAUGCUCUUUCCAGUUGCUAGCUGCUAGUAAGUUGUAGCUGAUGAAAAGAAGAUAUUGAAGAAAAAUAUUACACUGAAAAUGGGAGAAGAAACAUGGCUUUUCUUUUGUACCCAAUAUUUCUCUUCAUGUAGGUCACUAUUCACAAAAUGUGGACAUGGUACUUGAGAGCCUGUUUUGCUUCCUGAGAUAUUUUUGUAGCUACAUGAUUUGAGCAGUUUUUGUGUCUGUCAGCACCAGGCAGAAGGUGGAAACAUCCACGAAGGCACAAGGAAGCAUCUGGAUGCAUGGCAGGUGUUGUGUCUAUGCCUGAGGCUGACAAGGACCAAUUGUCACUAGUACCUGCCUAGAAGAAGCUGAGCAAGGUCAGAAGCAUGUUAAUGCAAACCAGACAGAGGAUGUUUCUCUGUGAAAUCACCUUUUUUGAGAUCUUAGAUAAACCACUAUUGGAAGCAGUGAGUUAGAAAUUACCUGCUAUAAAAGAGACUGAACAGUAGGUCAUUCUAUAAGAGUCCUAUGAUUUGAAAUAGAUUUGUCAGAUUGCCUGCAAGAAAUAGAUCUCUGCCAUCAGAACACAAUAUAAAGUCUCCUUUGGGAGUUAGGAAGAGGGUUUAUGUACUGUGAAGGUGCUUUUGUUUGUAUUCUGUGGGUAGAGUUCUCUGGUGUCUGAACACUUGUUACCAAGGAGUCUUUGCUGAAGUACUGACUGGACAGAAGGGGAUAAUCCUAGAGACUUCAGUGUAAAUGUAACGCUUUAUAUGUUCAAAUACUAAAUGUUUUAAACCAUUUAUUAGGGAAGGUAGAGUAGUGAAGAUGGGAAGACUGGUAUCAUCAAUAAAUUUCAGUUCUAAGGGA